rnacentral:rRNA from 1 species
GCGCUUGCCUCUGAUGAAGCGGCUCGCCUUAAAAUGAUUUCGGAUUGACUCUAUCUGCAGUCGGUUUGACUUGGCGUUAUAAGUUAUUUCGCUAAGGACAUCUUCGGAUGGCCGAUCUAGGAUAGCUGUCUUGUACUGCUUGUGUGCAAACACAUCUCCAGUGCGCUCCAUCUUUUGACAUCUGGCCUCAAAUCAGGUAGGACUACCCGCUGAACUUAAGCAUAUCAAUAAGCGGAGGAAAAGAAACUAACAAGGAUUCCCCUAGUAACGGCGAGUGAAGCGGGAAGAGCUCAAAUUUGAAAUCUGGCUGCCUUCGGUGGUCCGAGUUGUAAUCUAGAGAAGUGUUUUCCGUGCUGGCCCAUGUACAAGUCCCUUGGAACAGGGCGUCAUAGAGGGUGAGAAUCCCGUACUUGACAUGGACUCCCAGUGCUCUGUGAUACACUUUCAAAGAGUCGAGUUGUUUGGGAAUGCAGCUCAAAAUGGGUGGUAAAUUCCAUCUAAAGCUAAAUAUUGGCGAGAGACCGAUAGCGAACAAGUACCGUGAGGGAAAGAUGAAAAGCACUUUGGAAAGAGAGUUAAACAGUAUGUGAAAUUGUUAAAAGGGAAACGAUUGAAGUCAGUCGUGCAGUUUGGACUCAGCCGGUUCUGCCGGUGUACUUCCAUUCUGUGGGGUCAACAUCAGUUUUGCUCGGUGGAAAAGGGCUGGAGGAAGGUAGCACUCUCGGGUGAACUUAUAGCCUCCUGUCGCAUACACCGGGUGGGACUGAGGAACGCAGCAUGCCUUUUGGCCGGGGUUCGCCCACGUACAUGCUAGGA